UGGAAGGCUCUAGGGGAAUAAAGAUGGAAUGACUUCUAAUUUUUAGGUCCGUAUGAUUUGAAAUACUUGCACACAAACCGCGCGAAAGCGUUCCUGGAAAUCUCAGCCCAAAAAAGGACGUUUAGUAAUUUUAAAAGGGACUAUAGGAUGAAAAACAAUAGUUUUGGCAAUUAAAGUUUGAGAUUCGACGGUGUCGUAGAUCCGUUUGGUCAUCAGGUGUUACGAGCCACACCCAUGUCUAGCUAGAAUAGUAUGUCAGGCUCAGGUUAGAGUAGAAACGGGGAACAAACUGAUGAAAGAAUGAUCAUACCAAGGGAAUUCACUCAGAACUAUCAAGAAUGAUAACGUGCUCCGACUGGAGUGAUUUAGGAACUGCUGGAAGGCUCUAGGGGAAUAAAGAUGGAAUGACUUCUAAUUUUUACGUCCGUAUGAUUUGAAAUACUUGCACACAAAUCACGCAAAAGCGUUCCUGGAAAUCUCAGCCUAAAAAAGGACGUUUAGUAAUUCUAAAAGGGACUACAGGAUGAAAAACAAUAGUUUGGGCAGUUAAAAUUUGAGAUUCGACGGUGCCGUAGAUCCGUUUGGUCAUCAGGUGUUACGAGCGACACCCUUGUCUAGCUAGAAUAGUGUGUUAGGCUCAGACUAGAGAAGAAACGGGGAACAAAGUGAUGAAAGAAUGAUCAUACCGAGGGAAUUCACUCAGAACUAACAAGAAUGAUAACGUGCUCCGACUGGAGCGGUUUAGUAACUGCUGGAAGGCUCUAGGGGAAUGAAGAUGGAAUGACUUCUAAUUUUUAGGUCCGUAUGAUUUGAAAUACAUGCACACAAACCCUGAGAAAGCGUUCCUGGAAAUCUCGGUCGAAAAAAGGAUGUUUAAUAAUUCUAAAAGGGACUACCGGAUGAAAAACAAUAGUUUUGGCAGUUAAAGUUUGUGAUUCGAUGGUGCCGUAGAUCUGUUUGGUCAUCAGGUGUUACGAGCCACACCCAUGUCUAUCUAGAAUAGUGUGUUAGGCUCAGGCUAGAGCAGAAACGGGGAACAGACUUAUGAAAGAAUGAUCAUACCGAGGGAAUUCACUCAGAACUAACAAGAAUGAUAACGUGCUCCGACUGGCGCGGUUUAGGAACUGCUGGAAGGCUCUAGGGGAAUAAAGAUGGAAAGACUUCUAAUUUUUAGGUCCGUAUGAUUUGAAAUACUUGCACACAAACCGCACGAAAGCGUUCCUGGAAAUCUCAGCCUAAAAAGGAUGUUUAGUAAUUCUAAAAGGGACUACAAGAUGAAAAAUAAUAGUUUGGGCAGUUAAAAUUUGAGAUUCGACGAUGCCGUAGAUCCGUUUGGUCAUCAGGUGUUAUGAGCCACACCCAUGUCUAGCUAGAAUAGUGUGUUAGGCUCAGGCUAGAGAAGAAACGGGGAACAAACUGAUGAAAGAAUGAUCAUACCGAGGGAAUUCACUCAGAACUAACAAGAAUGAUAACGUGCUCCGACUGGAGCAGUUUAGAAACUGCUGGAAGGCUCUAAUGGAAUAAAGAUGGAAUGCCUUCAAAUUUCUAGGUCCGUAUGAUUUGAAAUACUUGCACACAAACCGCUCGAAAGCGUUCCUGGAAAUCUCAGCCCAAAAAAGGACGUUUAGUAAUUCUAAAAGGGACUACAGGAUGAAAAACAAUAGUUUUGGCAGUUAAAGUUUGAGAUUCGAUGGUGCCGUAGAUCCGUUUGGUCAUCAGGUGUAACGAGCCACACACAUGUCUAGCUAGAGUAGUGUGCUAGGCUCAGACUAGAGAAGAAACGGGGAACAAAGUGAUGAAAGAAUGAUCAUACCGAGGGAAUUCACUCAGAACUUACAAGAAUGAUAACGUGCUCCGACUGGAGCGCUUUAGUAACUGCUGGAAGGCUCUAGGCGAAUAAAGAUGGAAUGACUUCUAAUUUUUAGGUCCGUAUGAUUUGAAAUACUUGCACACAAACCACGCAAAACCGUUCCUAGAAAUCUCGGUCGAAAAAAGGACGUUUAGUAAUUCUAAAAGGGACUACAGGAUGAAAAACAAUAGUUUUGGCAGUUAAAGUUUGAGAUUCGAUGGUGCCGUAGAUCCGUUUGGUCAUCAGGUGUUACGAGCCACACCCAUGUCUAGCUAGAGUAGUGUGCUAGGUUCAGACUAGAGAAGAAACGGGGAACAAAGUGAUUAAAGAAUGAUCAUACCGAGGGAAUUCACUCAGAACUAACAAGAAUGAUAACGUGCUCCGACUGGAGCGGUUUAGGAACUGCUGGAAGGCUCUAGGGGAAUAAAGAUGGAAUGACUUCUAAUUUUUACGUCCGUAUGAUUUGAAAUACAUGCACACAAACCACGCAAAAGCGUUCCUGGAAAUCUCAGCCUAAAAAAGGACGUUUAGUAAUUCUAAAAGGGACUACAGGAUGAAAAAUAAUAGUUUGGGCAGUUAAAAUUUGAGAUUCGACGCUGCCGUAGAUCCGUUUGGUCAUCAGGUCUUACGAGCCACACCCAUGUCUAGCUAGAAUAGUGUGUUAGGCUCAGGCUAGAGAAGAAACGGGGAACAAACUGAUGAAAGAAUGAUCAUACCGAGGGAAUUCACUCAGAACUAACAAGAAUGAUAACGUGCUCCGACUGGAGCAGUUUAGAAACUCCUGGAAGGCUCUAGGGGAAUAAAGAUGGAAUGACUUCAAAGUUUUAGGUCCGUAUGAUUUGAAAUACUUGCACACAAACCGCGUGAAAGCGUUCCUGGAAAUCUCAACCCAAAAAAGGGCGUUUAGUAAUUCUAAAAGGGACUACAGGAUGUAAAACAAUAGUUUUGGCAGUUAAAGUUUGAGAUUCGAUGGUGCCGUAGAUCCGUUUGGUCAUCAGGUGUAACGAGCCACACCCAUGUCUAGCUAGAGUAGUGUGCUAGGCUCAGACUAGAGAAGAAACGGGGAACAAAGUGAUGAAAGAAUGAUCAUACCGAGGGAAUUCACUCAUAACUAACAAGAAUGAUAACGUGCUCUGACUUGAGCGGUUUAGGAACUGCUGGAAGGCUAUAGGGGAAUAAAGAUGGAAUGACUUCAAAUUUUUAGGUCCGUAUGAUCUGAAAUACUUGCACACAAACCGCGAGAAAGCGUUCCUGGAAAUCUCAACCCAAAAAAGGACGUUUAGUAAUUCUAAAAGGGACUACAGGAUGAAAAACAAUAGUUCUGGCAGUUAUUGUUUGAGAUUCGAUAAUCUCGUAGAUCCGUUUGGUCAUCAGGUGUAACGAGCCACACCCAUGUCUAGCUAGAGUAGUGUGCUAGGCUCAGACUAGAGAAGAAACGGGGAACAAACUGAUGAAAGAAUGAUCAUACCGAGGGAAUUCACUUAGAACUAACAAGAAUGAUAACGUGCUCCGACUGGAGCGGUUUAGGAACUGCUGGAAGGCUCUAGGGGAAUAAAGAAGGAACGACUUCUAAUUUUUAGGUCCGUAUGAUUUGAAAUAUGUGCACACAAACCACGAGAAAGCGUUCCUAGAAAUCUCGGCCCAAAAGAGGACGUUUAGUAUUCUAAAAGGGACUACAGAAUGAAAAACAAUAGUUUUGGCAGUUAAAGUUUGAGAUUUGACGGUGCCGUAGAUCUGUUUGGUCAUCAGGGGUUACGAGCCACACCCAUGUCUAGCUAGAAUAGUGUGUUAGGCUCAGGCUAGAAAAGAAACGGGGAACAAAGUGAUGAAAGAAUGAUCAUACCGAGGGAAUUCACUCAGAACUAACAAGAAUGAUAACAUGCUCCGACUGGAGCGGUUUAGGAACUGCUGGAAGGCUCUAGGGGAAUAAAGAUGGAAUGACUUCUAAUUUUUAGGUCCGUAUGAUUUGAAAUACUUGCACACAAACCGCGCGAAAGCGUUCCUGGAAAUCUCAGCCCAAAAAAGGACGUUUAGUAAUUCUAAAAGGGACUACAGGAUGAAAAACAAUAGUUUUGGCAGUUAAAGUAUGAGAUUCAACGGUGCCGUAGAUCCGUUUGGUCAUUAGGUGUUACGAGCCACACCCAUGUCUAGCUAGAAUAGUGUGCUAGGCUCAGGCUAGAGAAGAAACGGGGAACAAACUGAUGAAAGAAUGAUCAAACCGAGGGAAUUCACUCAGAACUAACAAUAAUGAUAACGUGCUCCGACUGGAGCGGUUUAGGAACUGCUGGAAGUCUCUAGGGGAAUAAAGAUGGAAUGACUUCUAAUUUUUACGUUCGUAUGAUUUGAAAAACUUGCCCAUAAACCGCGCGAAAGUGUUCCUGGAAAUCUCAGCCCAAAAAAGGACGUUUAGUAAUUUUAAAAGGGACUACACGAUGAAAAACAAUAGUUUUGGCAGGUAAAGUUUGAGAUUCGACAGUGCCGUAGAUCCGUUUGGUCAUCAGGUGUUACGAGCCACACCCAUGUCUAGCUAGAAUAGUAUGUUACGCUCAGGUUAGAGAAGAAACGGGGAACAAACUGAUGAAAGAUGAUCAUACCAAGGGAAUUCACUCAGAACUAACAAGAAUGAUAACGUGCUCCGACUGGAGCGGUUUAGGAACUGCUGGAAGGCUCUAGGGGAAUAAAGAUGGAAUGACUUCUAAUUUUUACGUCUGUAUGAUUUGAAAUACUUGCACACAAACAACGCAAAAGCAUUCCUGGAAAUCUCAUCCUAAAAAAGGACGUUUAGUAAUUCUAAAAGGGACUACAGGAUGAAAAAUAAUAGUUUGGGAAGUUAAAAUUUGAGAUUCGAUAGUGCCGUAGAUCCGUUUGGUCAUCAGGUGUUAGGAGCCACACCCAUGUCUAGCUAGAAUAGUGUGUUAGGCUCAGGCUAGAGAAGAAACAGGGAACAAACUGAUGAAA
rnacentral:lncRNA from 1 species